rnacentral:rRNA from 1 species
CUACAGAGGGUGCGAGCGUUAAUCGGAAUUACUGGGCGUAAAGCGCGCGUAGGCGGCUUAUUAAGUCAGAUGUGAAAUCCCCGGGCUCAACCUGGGAACUGCAUCUGAUACUGGUAAGCUAGAGUUUUGGAGAGGGAAGUAGAAUUUCAGGUGUAGCGGUUAAAUGCAUAGAGAUCUGAAGGAAUACCCGUGGCGAAGGAGACUUCCUGGCCAAAAACUGACGCUGAGGUGCGAAAGCGUGGGUAGCAAACGGGAUUAGAAACCCUAGUAGUCC